UUCAGAAAAUGGAGGGAAAAGGUAGCAAUAGGAAGGGCGUGGCUGGUUAAGGUGGAGGGCACAAUCAAAGAACUAGGAAGUCGGUGUUUAGAGGCCUAGUUUUAUCUCUGUCUCAAGUAGCAGAUCUGCUAAAAAGUCUUGAGAAAACAUUUGUAACACAAGGUUGAAGAUUUAUGUUUCUGUGGAUAACUGGAUUCGUUGGAUUGCCCUGACUGUUGACACACUCAUCGUGGGACCCUACAAGUGGUGGAGACUUGGAAGUACCUCCAUCCAUCUCUGAUGAAUGAUGCAGCUUCAAGCCAGACUGUGGGGCCCGUGCAUCCGCGAACUAGAUCCGCGCCUGGACAGGAUACAGCAUCUCCGUUCGGCUGUUCAGUGCCUGUCGAGGGGGUCAUGCGCUUGCACUGCUGCAUUUUUAUUAUACCAGCUGUGCAUUUCACCUUGCUUUCAUAUGAUACAUUGUGCAUCGCGUAUAAAUAGUAAAAAAAAAAAAUCCAAUGAACUUGUGUUUAUCGACUCGCUUGCAAAUAGAGAGAUUUGAAGGAAAUUGUUUUCAUCAUUCGCCAUGCCCUUUCACUGGGCGAGGCUCGAGCCCGAUGGCUGCUGUAAAUAUUAAUUUCACCGCGUUCGCCGCAUCGCGUUCUGACUAGGGCACCUGCGGCCCUCAUGUAGCGUUCCUCCCGAUUGUUUCCAGAACACGUGAGAAGAGUGCAGUUAUAAUGGGGGGACAUGUAUUAAGCAAAUGGAACAUCCUUGCUCAGCGAAUCUUCAGUUUCAAUUAGACGUGACAAAUGUGGAGAGGCGGGUCCAGAGCAGAUCGUGUGUCCUCGCUGACACCUCCUCCAGGAGUCUCCGCGUUCCUCCAAGGAGAAUUUGACGGGUUGGAAUGUCCUUAAAGAUGGUGACCCGUAAUUGAUUUCCGGGUCAGGCGAGGGUGGAUAACGUGCGCGCCGGGUAUGAACCCCUAGUUUUCCCCGGGGGUUCAGAACUGAGCAAGAGAAGGACAGCCCACUUGAACAUGACCCACAAGGAUGAACGGAGGGGACCUGGACCCCCACACGCAAUAAUCUUGCUUCUCCCUCCCCUCGCCUCCCCCCUCCCCCCCCCCUUGAAACUGGAAUCUACGAGGGGGGUCCCUGAUAGCGACAUUGACAGGACCUUGUAACGAUGUGCGCGGGGGGGGGGAAGCGAUAUUUCACUUUAUUGCGUGAUUGUUCUCGCGCGCCGCGGUACAAUGAAGCGAACGUUCACCGAGGAGCGAAUCAAUCGCGCGGCCCUGUGGUUUUCCAUCUCGGACGCAGCGGUGCACUACUCCGAGAGAUCGCUUUCCCGCGCCCUCGCGCCCGCCACCCGUUUCUCCGUAUCCACUACCGACGCGGAACCUCAAUACAGAGGAAAAAGGCUCUCGGGGCGAAGGAAUGUUGAGUGCGGUUCGGCGCGGGGCUGCCGCGAACCCGCUGCUGAGCUGUGAGAGCCCUGCGCGUUGCUGUGAAGCACCUGUGCCUCUCUCACAGUAAGGGGGCCGUAUCUGGGGCCGCGGGGCGCGACGGUGAGCGCUUCACCUGGACAACCCAGCCGCCAACAACUACAAAACGGGUUUAUCAAUAACAUAACUGAGUUAGAUACUCGGACACAGAGUUCAGUUUCCCUUCUGGAAAAUGUAAAUCUUUUUUUUGUCAUUUCUGAAUUUCAUUUAUCGUCUUUGCUAUUGACACAGAAUGUGUGCCCACUCAAAUUAAAUAUGCUUCUUGGUUUAAUAAUAAUAACUCAGUCUAUCACCAUGAUUUGAAUUAUCAUAUUUAUAAUGCUAUUGUCCAUUCAUGCUAAAUUGAGAAACCAUCUCCGCACUGUUAGACAGUCACCUUGUAUCUAGAAUACAAAUGACUUCAUUUCAGUUUAGCCACACCACAUAAUGGUUUUGUCACAGGGCAUUCUCAGAUAACAAAACAAGCUAUUAGUUGUUGAGUUAUGAGAAAUUGACUCUAUGUAGGGCUGUUUGAGAACUUUAUGUAACAGAUGAAAUAAGACAUGACA